UUCCCUACGGGAGGCAGCAGUGGGGAAUAUUGGACAAUGGGGGAAACCCUGAUCCAGCCAUGCCGCGUGAGUGAAGAAGGCCUUCGGGUUGUAAAGCUCUUUCGGCGGGGACGAUGAUGACGGUACCCGCAUAAGAAGCCCCGGCAAACUUCGUGCCAGCAGCCGCGGUAAUACGAAGGGGGCUAGCGUUGUUCGGAAUUCCUGGGCGUAAAGCGCGCGUAGGCGGUGAUCUUUGUCAGAGGUGAAAGCCGGGGGCUCAACUCCGGAAUUGCCUUUGAAACGGGAUUGCUUGAGUCCGAGAGAGGAUGGCGGAAUUCCUAGUGUAGAGGUGAAAUUCGUAGAUAUUAGGAAGAACACCGGUGGCGAAGGCGGCCAUCUGGCUCGGUACUGACGCUCAGGCGCGAAAGCGUGGGGAGCAAACAGGAUUAGAUACCCCGGUAGUCCAC
rnacentral:rRNA from 1 species